rnacentral:rRNA from 1 species
GACGAACGCUGGCGGCGUGCUUAACACAUGCAAGUCGAACGGAAAGGCCCUGCUUUUGUGGGGUGCUCGAGUGGCGAACGGGUGAGUAACACGUGAGUAACCUGCCCUUGACUUUGGGAUAACUUCAGGAAACUGGGGCUAAUACCGGAUAGGAGCUCCUGCUGCAUGGUGGGGGUUGGAAAGUUUCGGCGGUUGGGGAUGGACUCGCGGCUUAUCAGCUUGUUGGUGGGGUAGUGGCUUACCAAGGCUUUGACGGGUAGCCGGCCUGAGAGGGUUACCGGCCACAAGGGGACUGAGAGACGGCCCAGACUCCUACGGGAGGCAGCAGUGGGGAAUAUUGCACAAUGGGCGGAAGCCUGAUGCAGCAACGCCGCGUGCGGGAUGACGGCCUUCGGGUUGUAAACCGCUUUCGCCUGUGACGAAGCGUGAGUGACGGUAAUGGGUAAAGAAGCACCGGCUAACUACGUG